rnacentral:rRNA from 1 species
CCUACGGGAGGCUGCAGUAGGGAAUAUUGCUCAAUGGGGGAAACCCUGAAGCAGCAACGUCGCGUGGAGGAUGAAGGUUUUCGGAUUGUAAACUCCUUUUGUUAGAGAAGAUAAUGACGGUAUCUAACGAAUAAGCACCGGCUAACUCCGGGCCAGCAGCCGCGGUAAUACGGAGGGUGCAAGCGUUACUCGGAAGCACUGGGCGUAAAGAGCGCGUAGGCGGGAUAGCAAGUCAGAUGUGAAAUCCUAGGGCUUAACCAUAGAACUGCAUUUGAAACUGUUAUUCUAGAGUAUGGGAGAGGUAGGUGGAAUUCUUGGUGUAGGGGUAAAAUCCGUAGAGAUCAAGAGGAAUACUCAUUGCGAAGGCGACCUGCUAGAACAUAACUGACGCUGAUGCGCGAAAGCGUGGGGAGCAAACAGGAUUAGAUACCCCUGUAGUC